rnacentral:rRNA from 1 species
AACGAACGCUGGCGGCGUGGAUUAGGCAUGCAAGUCGAACGUGAAAGGGGCUUCGGCCCUGAGUAAAGUGGCAAACGGGUGAGUAACGCGUGGAGAACCUGCCCGGAAGCGGGGGAUAACACUUCUAACGAGGUGCUAAUACCGCAUGUGUCUGCGUGAGCGCAUGCUCGCGCAGGUAAACGUGGCCUCUGCUCGCAAGCUACGGCUUCCGGAUGGCUCUGCGUCUCAUUAGCUAGUUGGUGGGGUAAC